rnacentral:rRNA from 1 species
CGUGCUACNAUGGCCGAUACAGAGGCCGGCGAAGGGGCGGACUGAGCAAAUCCUUAAAAGUCGGUAGUAGUCCGGAUUGGAGUCUGCAACUCGACUCCAUGAAGUCGGAAUCGCUAGUAAUCGCGAAUCAGCAUGUCGCGG